rnacentral:rRNA from 1 species
AUACGUAGGUGGCAAGCGUUAUCCGGAUUUACUGGGUGUAAAGGGCGUGUAGGCGGUAUACCAAGUCAGAUGUGAAAUCUCCGGGCUCAACCCGGAAACUGCAUUUGAAACUGUCGUUCUUGAGUAUCGGAGAGGCAAGCGGAAUUCCUAGUGUAGCGGUGAAAUGCGUAGAUAUUAGGAGGAACACCAGUGGCGAAGGCGGGUAACUGGACUGCAACUGACGCUGAGGCGCGAAAGUGUGGGGAGCAAACAGGAUUAGAUACCCUGGUAGUCCACACUGUAAACGAUGAAUGCUAGGUGUAGGAGGUAUCGACCCCUUCUGUGCCGCAGUAAACACAGUAAGCAUUCCGCCUGGGGAGUACGGUCGCAAGAUUAAAACUCAAAGGAAUUGACGGGG